rnacentral:ncRNA from 1 species
AUAAAUACUGUGAAGAGGAACAGUAAGCUGUCUGAAACAUGCAGAGAGCCGGCGGUUGGUGCGAGCCGGUUGGGAAGGAUGGCUGAACUCGCCUUGGAGUUGCUCACUGAAGGAAGCGCUGCUUUUGUGUAGGUGCGGCCGGCAUCCCAGCCGUUACGAUGGGAAGGAUAUGAAUACGUAUCCCAUGAGCGCAUACAGAUUCUGUAUGAAAUAGAGUGGUACCGCGUGGAAGAAAUCCGCGUCUCUAUC